GACGUAGGGUGCAAGCGUUGUCCGGAAUUAUUGGGCGUAAAGAGCUCGUAGGCGGUUCGUCGCGUCGGCUGUGAAAUCCCGGAGCUCAACUCCGGGUCUGCAGUCGAUACGGGCGGACUUGAGUACUGCAGGGGAGACUGGAAUUCCUGGUGUAGCGGUGAAAUGCGCAGAUAUCAGGAGGAACACCGGUGGCGAAGGCGGGUCUCUGGGCAGUAACUGACGCUGAGGAGCGAAAGCGUGGGGAGCGAACAGG
rnacentral:rRNA from 1 species